GGGCCUGAUGAUGAGAAUAUGCAAGUAAUCUCACAACGGUCUUCUGAGAACUCUUUUGAUGCAAUAAAUAUUCUCUGAAGCCC